CAUAAAAUGACUUUCGGAAACUUUCUGUCACAGUCAAGGAUCUGUUGCAGUAGAUGCUGAGCUGAUAUUCAAUAAAGUAGAAACACUGCCAGAUGCCAGCUCUGCAGCUAGCACUUUGAAGACUGCUGCUUCCAGCUCUAAUUUUACCCUCACUGUUAACACAUCAUCUAUUACUACAACUGUUGUGUUGGCACCAACUGAAGCCCCAGCCAAAGUAGUCCCUACAACACUAAUGAGCACAGCUCCCUCACCAGGUAUCCUAAGUCCUUUUAAUACAUUUCUAGCAGUAUCUCUGUGUUGUUUGCAAGCAGUAAAGUUGCUAGUUUACUGCUAACUCUCCUGGG